AAAGAACCUGUUUAAAUUUCCAUGCCAAUUUGCAACCCCCAUACUGUGCCAGGAUUAUAGAUCCAGACUCCUGUGCCUGACCACUGCCCAUGGCCAACUCUCUGCUGAUGACUGGACUUGACUACACAAGUUGUUGGGUACUUUGACUAGAACACCAACCAAGUCAUUGGAAAUAUAAUGCUUUGUUCUUUCUAGCUCCAAGAUAUGAACAUGUGACAACCCAAACAAACAAAAUCCCAACAAGGUUGUCAGAUAUGCAAAUUACAGUUGACCCUUGAACAACAGAGAGGGUAGAGGUGCUGAUCACUGGCACAGUUGAAAAUUCAAAAGUUUUGACUCCCCUAAAACUUAAUUACUAAUAACCUACUGUUGACUAGAAGCCUACUGAUAAUAUAAACGAUUUAUUAACACAUAUUUUAUAUGUUAUAUGUAUUAGGUACUGUAUUAUAAUAAAGUAAGCUAGAGCAAAGAAAAUGUUAUGGAUAAAAUCAUAAGAAAGAGAAAAGAUAUUUACUCUCCAUUGAAUAGAAAUGGCUCAUCAUAAAGAUCUUCAUUCUCACCAUCUUCAAAUUGGGUAGGCUGAAGAGGAGCAAUAAGAGAAGGGGUUGGUCUUGCCAUCUCAGGUGUGGCAGAGACGGAAAACAAUCCACGUAUAAAUAUGGACCCAUGUAGUUCAAACCUGUGUUGUUCAAAGGUCAACUGUAUUUACUUUAAAUUACUUGUCUGACCUGAGAUUUUCCUGACCAUAAUCCAAGAGAUUGACACCUUUCUAAAGUUUGUUCUUAUGUUUUCCAAAAUGACAACUUGUUUUCCAGAACAUCUUAAAACCACUCAAAGUUGACGGUCUCCUCUCCUGCCUCCUGCGGCUUCCAUUACCAUGGCAGAGACUGUGGUGUCUGAGGUGGUGUAGCGUACUGAAGCAAGGCUGUCUUGAAGAAGAGGAGACAACUCAGAAUUCUACCACCUUUGUUGACCUCUUCUUCCCCCCAACUUAUUGCUGUAGAGGCUACCUGAGCUCAUUGUCCCUGGAGAUGGACCAAAUAGAAGAAUAAGCAGUGCCUGUGUGGUGAGCUUCAAGAGGCAUCUGUUCUCUGGGGAGUGGGUGGGUGGUAAAGCAAAGACGGGAGAUGUGUAUAUUAGCUAUCCAUUACUGUAUAAUUAAUUAUACACAAAACUAAACUAUACACUAAACUAAAACUUCACAGCUUAAAACAGGAAAUAUGUAUUAUCUCACACAAUUUCUGAGAGUCAGGAAUCUGAAAAUGGCUUAGCUAGUUUGGUUCUGGCUCAGGGUGACCUAUGGAGUUGCAGCCAAGAUGUUGAAGGUAAAGAAAUUUCAUGUGGUGGAUUCCUACAAAAGAAUGAAUGAGAAAGAAACCUUCGGUUUGGAAAGUGAGGCGUACACAGGCUAAAUAACUUGCUUAAUGAAACACUGGUCACAGAGUCAGAAUGUGAAGAACAGGUUGUAGGACUGCAAAGCUCUUGCUGGGACUGUGGUCGUAGGCUUGCUCUCCGCUUUGGGCCCCACUACGUGAUUAAAAAUGAAGGCU
rnacentral:lncRNA from 10 species